GCCAUUGGUUCUUGAAAAAUAUAACUUAUAAAUGCCUCAUACAAUUUAUACAUGUUUCAUGAGCUGUCGUACCCCAGGUGUCAAUAUUUCCCUUGUCAAUAUUGGCACCCCAUUUGGAAUUCCCUCCUUUGUAGGCGUAUUGUCUUCUUAAAUGAUUCAGAGAUUAGAUUAGCGCAUAGAUGAACGGUCUGUAGUAAACUAAUGUUGUGUUUCAUACCACGACAUAUACGACAUUGUAAUUACAGGGUAGCACAACUCCCGGGUGCGCUACACUCUAUGAGCUCUGGCCAUCACGGAUUUGUUUGGGAGCCAAAUAAGAACCCGGGCUGUGACAAACAAUGGUAGCGAUGAAAGGCGAGGGGAGGGUUGGCUAAAUGCAAAUAUCCACUUUGUGCUGUUGAGAGAACCUCCUCCAACACUGACAACUGGCAAUUUCCAUCCCAAGAAUCCUACACUGUAGGCUGAGAAUAAAUGCAUCUACAAUUCUGCCACGUCCCUUCUUUACAGCGAAGUUACAACUUCUUGUAACUACGAUUUAAUUCACAACUUUGAAACGUGUUCGGUUCAUUCCAUCGAGCAAGAGUUGGACAACGGUCAGUGAAGAUGGACAUUUGAUGACCUCGGGUGUGUCGCGGGAGGGACAGGAAGCGUCUGUGCACCUGUGAGAACUAAACCAAAAAGGACAAUGACCCAAAACAUAGCUCCAGGCUGUGUAAGGGCUAUUUGACCAAGAAGGAGAGUGAUGGUGCUGCAUCAGAUGACCUGGCCUCUACAAUCACCCAACCUCAUCCCUCCUUGAGAUGGUUUGGGAUGAGUUGAGUGAAGUGCAGAGUGAAGGAAAAGCAGCCCACAAGUGCUCAGCAUAUGUGGUAAAUCCUUCAAGACUGUUGGAAAAGCAUUCCUCAUGAAGCUGUUUGAGAGUGUGCAAAGCUGUCAUCAAGGCAAAAGGUGGCUACUUUAAAAUAUUAAAUAUAUUUGGAUUUGUUUAACACUUUUUUGGUGUUACUACAUGAUUCCAUAUGUGUUAUUUCAUAGUUUUGAUGUCUUCACUAUUAUUCUAUAAUGUGGAAAAUAGUAAAAAUAAAGACAAACCCUUGAAUGAGUAGAUAUGUCCAAACUUUUGACUGGUACUGUAUAUAGAGAAAAGGUAUUGCACUAAGUAGGGAAGAGGGUACCAUUUGGGACUCGGGCUAGAACG
ensembl:lncRNA